UGAGGAAUAUUGGUCAAUGGACGAGAGUCUGAACCAGCCAAGUAGCGUGAAGGAUGACUGCCCUAUGGGUUGUAAACUUCUUUUAUAUGGGAAUAAAGUGCAGUAUGUAUACUGCUUUGCAUGUACCUUAUGAAUAAGGAUCGGCUAACUCCGUGCCAGCAGCCGCGGUAAUACGGAGGAUCCGAGCGUCGUCCGGAUUUAUUGGGUUUAAAGGGAGCGUAGGCGGGUUGUUAAGUCGGUUGUGAAAGUUUGCGGCUCAACCGUAAAAUUGCAGUUGAAACUGGCAGUCUUGAGUACAGUAGAGGUGGGCGGAAUUCGUGGUGUAGCGGUGAAAUGCUUAGAUAUCACGAAGAACUCCGAUUGCGAAGGCAGCUCACUAGACUGCAACUGACACUGAUGCUCGAAAGUGUGGGUAUCAAACAGG
rnacentral:rRNA from 1 species